CUAGAGUGAUGUUGUGUAGGCACUGUUUCUGCUCCUGGGGUUGGACGAUGAGCAAAGUUUAGGCUGUGUUUCUUGGAACUUGCUAAUGGAGAAAUGUGGGCAGCAUACUGUUUCUUUUUAUUAUUAUCUGUAUUUAAUUCUUGGAAAGACACAGCGAGAAUUCGAGAGGGAGAGAGACACCUUGCAGCCCCUACUCCACCACUCGUGAAGCUUUCCUUCUGCAGCCACCAAGUUGAAGAUGCUACCUUAAUGCCGGCCUGACUUCCCUGAACAGAUGACUCCUUAGUGGAAUGAGGUCCAAUGUGUCCUGAACCCCCACCUUCCCAGAGCCCUGCCCCUCUAAGGAAAGAUAGAAACAGGCUGGGGGUAUGGAUCUACCUGCCAACAUCCAUGUCCAGUGGAGAAGCAAUUACAGAAGCCAGAACUUCCACCUUCUGCACCCCAUAAAGAAUUUUGGUCCUUUCUCCCAAAGUGGGAGAAAUGUUAGGGGAAAAUAACCAGAGGGCUCUGAACCCCAGUUCCAUCAGGACCCAGAGAGAGAGGAAAAGGGGGGGACAUUCAGAAGUAGUACUAGGUAUAGGUGUGACUUGGAAAGAAAGAGAAACCAGGACCAUAGACAAUAUGAGCAAAUAUAUGCAAAUAUAGACAGGUAGUUGUAGAAAUAAAAGCCCACAUCUGCAACCUUGGGAGAACUGCUGUAGCUUCCAAUGGAGGGAGUGGGGAUACUGGUGGCAGGAGCGGUGCAGAAUUAUGCCUGCUGUCUUACAGUUUUCUAAGUCAAUAUUAAGUCACUAAUAAAAUU